ACCACUUUAUUUAUUAUCUUAUCGCAAUGCAGAUGCACUUGAUUUUUCUAUUAUUAGAUAUGCAUUUAUCGCAUUAAUUAUUAAUAUUUAGACAAUAAUCUAAGAUUAUACAUAACCCAUUUAAGGACUAAGUUAAUACUUUAAUCGCCAACAACCUUACUGUUGAGAAAAUAAUAAAUUAUUUCUUAAAAAAGUCACUAAUCACAAGGUGAUACAAUAAUAUAAAAACGGCAGCUAAAAGAACAACGACAAUUUCAAACUACUCAUCUUAAACAUGAAAACUACAAUUGUGUCUGUCUGUGUUUUGACAAUAUUGAGUUUCAGUUACUGUGCACAACUGCCACCCAGUUUCGAAAAAUGCAACAUCAAGCAUUUGGAUUUUGAAAAAUGUUUGAGUGACGCCAUCCACGAUGCCAUCAAACAAUUGAAAGACCCAAUUCCUGGACUGGGUUUACCCAGCAUAGAGCCAUUUAAACUGGAAACUACAAAAUUGAAGAUAGGAAAUUCUACUGACAGUUUGCAACAGAUCUGGAAGAAUAUAACAGUUGAGGGUUUGAGUAAACCCGCAGCUACAAAUGCAAGGUGGACUAAUGGGUCUGUUAUCACCCUAGACCUUGAAGUAAGCUACGACCAAAAACUACUUUUCACCACUGACUAUCAAGCCCACGGCGCAGUUCUACUUCUCCCGGUCCACGUGUUUUGCUCAUAUAGUUGCGAAUUUGUGACAGGCGGAACGAUUAAAAUAACAUACAAGAUUGAACAACCCGAAAAAAGCAACCAAUAUUUCAAACUAAUUAGUACUAAGGUCCUACUUGUGCCCAAGAAAGUGAAAUUUACUUAUCACGAUUUCUUUGAAAGUCGGCGUUUGACAGAUGUAAUGAACUCAGAGAUCAACAGAAAUUGGGAAGCAAGCUGGAAUUUUAUUGCUCAUUUUUUGGGUAUUUACGACGCAUGUUUUGAUGGUUUGCUCAGAAACGUUCUGGAAAAAGUUCCGGCUGAUCAAAUUUUCGAUGGUCUGGAUUAGAAGGGUGUCUCUGUUGCUACCAACUACAGUAUUUUUACUA